ensembl:lncRNA KLF3-AS1 KLF3 antisense RNA 1
GGGGCUUUGGAGGGAAUCGUGAGCGGGCGGGAGGAGGCCGGGGACCACACAGAACUGAGAUCCAGAGAGAUGAUGACUUUGCCCAUAGACCAAACAAAGAAAUACAUGUUUCAGUCCUGUGUCCUCCUGCUAUGUGUGUCCGGAAUUGGUGGGUUCUUGGUCUCACUGACUUCAAGAAUGAAGCUGCGGACCCUCGCGGACCGUGUGUGAAUGCCUGCUCUGUGAGCCCUCAGAAUCUACUGGCUGAAUGAGUGCGUGGAGGAAAUGUGCUCAGAGCUGCUGUGUGUCAUCCUGUGUUUGAAGUGCUCCUGCAGCUAUCAUUCAUCCAGUUAAGAAUUUGAAGAAGUGUGUGCACAAAGACGGAGUCUCACUCUGUUGCCCAGGCUGGAGUGCAGUGGCACAAUCUCGGCUCACUGCAACCUCUACCUCCUGGAUUCAAGCGGUUUUCCUGCCUCAGCCUCCAGAGUAACAGGGAUUACAGGCAUACUCCACCUUGCCCUGCUGAUUUUGUAUUUUUAGUAGAGACAAGAGUUUCACCAUGUUGGCCAGGCUGGUCUUGAACUCCUGACCUCAAGUGAUCCACUGCCUCAGCCUCCCAAAGUGCUGGGAUUAUAGGCGUGAGCCACUGCGCCUGGCCAAAUGCUCUACUUUUUAAUCAAUGUUUUCCAAAAUAGGGAUUUUUGCUAUGUGCUUUAGAAAUUAGAGAACAAACGGUGAUAAUAUAUGCUAAACUUAAAAUUAGUAUGCCUCCUUUUAUAGACAACAAGAACUUUGUCACUUCCCAGUUUGUCUUGUCAUUCAGGAGGCUCAGAGCUACGAUCUGUGCCCACUCGUGCUGCCUCUUCUUAACUUUGAUUUCCUGAAGCAGCGAUUUCAUCUCCGUUUCCCCUCAUCACCUGUUCUUUUAACUGUUUAAAAACAGCAUUACAUGUUGUUGCAAGUGGCCUCAAAUUCUUUUUGGUAGAAGGGAAAUUGUAAUCCAUGAGAAGAAAAAAAUUUUCCUAACUAUUCUCAGGUGUGUUUAAGGGCUGCAUUCCAUGAUGCUAUCAGUGCCUUCUUUCAGCUCACAGGAUAUCGGCCAUGUUAAUGAGUCUGAUGUUGCUAGUAUCACAGGCACCGGAAAAUAUGCACAUUAUGCUGGAGCAUUAGAAUGCAACAGAAAGAGCCCUGGGCUUGGAGUAUGCAGAACUGGUUCUUGUUACAACUCCUCUUACUAGUGGGCUCUGGAAGAAAACACAUUGAAUUCAUGAUCAUGGUUAACCUUUGGAGAGAGAGAGGAGACCAGGAUGAAGGAGCCAGUCGAAGAUCCUGUUCAAGUGUACACUGAGCCAGCAGGUUCACCAGAAAGCUAUUGAGCGUUUGCUGGAACACAUUAUGCAGGGUGAAUUUCUUCUGGAAUGUUGCCAAGGAUUUUUUAUGCUUCUGUGGCAGGCAUUUCUUGAACAUUGUCAUUUAGCCAAGCAAAGAAGAUUUUCUUAAAGGAUAGAAAAUGUUUAAAAAUUUUUGUUUGUUUGAAGAUAGGUUAAAUGGCUAUAUGAUCUCAGGAUAAGACAGAGAAAAUCACUUAUUUCUCUAAGUGAUCUGAUUAGGUUAGUGAUGUUUUGCCUUUAAACAGAUUCAUCAUUAUUCCUAAAGUAUUGCUGUAUUAAUACUGUCUUCUAGAAAGUAUCCACCAGUGCCUACUUUUCUUCGAUAUCAUUAGCUGUUUUUCGAAACUGAAUUUGCUCUUCAGAGAUUUCUCAUAUGUUUGCGUAUAAGGAACUACUGGUAAUAGCCAAGAAAAUUUGGAGGUGCAGAGAACAUGCUGAAACAGAAUUUUUCACUUUCAAUUCUAGAACUAUGCCAUAAAAAAAAAGGAAAAUGUAAAAAUGUCUUUAUAUUAGAGCAGAUAUUUUAAAAGUAUUGCAAAUUCAAUGAUAAAUUCUAAGGUUAAAAUUGGACACAUAAAAAAUACAAUAUAUAAAUAUCUCCCCAGAAAUUAUUAUCUAAUGAAUAGUAAAAGCUGACUACAAACCAUGUCAUUUUAACAAGGGUUUAAAUAGUACCAAGAUUCUCAUCAUAUGCUCUGGGAUACCCAGUGAUGUACAAGGGUUCUCUCUAAACAUGGGGAGGAAAAAUUUCAAAUAUAAAGAUUUGAAUCUUGUCUUUGCCAUUCACUAGCUGUGUGAUCUUGGGUAAGUUACCUGGUUUCUCUGAGCUUCAGUGUCAUCUGUAAAACAGGAAUAAUAAUACCUAGCUCAGAGGCGGGUGUGGUGGCUCACGCCUGUAAUCCCAGCACUUUGGGAGGCCAAGGCAGGUGGAUCACUAGGUCAGGAGUUUGAGACCAGCCUGGCCAAGAUGGUGAAAUCCUGUCUCUACUUAAAAAAAAAAAAAAAUAGCCAGGCAUGGUGGCAGGCACCUGUGAUCCCAGCUACUCAGGAGGCUGAGGCAGGAGAAUCGCUUGAACCCGGGAGGCGGAGGUUGCAGUCAGCUGAGAUCUCGCCACUGCACUCCAGCCUGGGCAAUAGAGUGAGACUCCGCCUCAAAUAAAUAGGUAAAUAAAUAAAUAAAUAAAUAAAAGUAAAUAAAUAAAUAAAUAAAUAAUAAUACCUAGCUUAUGGGGCUGCUGUGGGUGUUUGUAAAGUAUCUCAAUGGUGCCUACAUAUUGUAAAGGCUUAUGAAUAUAUUAGUUCCUUUCUCAACUUCCUCAAUUCAUUCCACCACUACAAGUCAAUCUAGAGAUUAAAAUAGGCAAAACUGUGAUCUACGUUAGGAUGGGGUUGUUUGAGUGGUGGUUUAUUUCUGAC